rnacentral:rRNA from 1 species
CCUACGGGUGGCAGCAGUGGGGAAUAUUGGGCAAUGGGCGCAAGCCUGACCCAGCAACGCCGCGUGAAGGAAGAAGGCUUUCGGGUUGUAAACUUCUUUUCUCAGGGACGAAGCAAGUGACGGUACCUGAGGAAUAAGCCACGGCUAACUACGUGCCAGCAGCCGCGGUAAUACGUAGGUGGCAAGCGUUAUCCGGAUUUACUGGGUGUAAAGGGCGUGUAGGCGGGAAAGCAAGUCAGAUGUGAAAACCAUGGGCUCAACCUGUGGCCUGCAUUUGAAACUGUUUUUCUUGAGUACUGGAGAGGCAGACGGAAUUCCUAAUGUAGCGGUGAAAUGCGUAGAGAUUAGGAGGAACACCAGUGGCGAAGGCGGUCUGCUGGACAGCAACUGACGCUGAGGCGCGAAAGCGUGGGGAGCAAACAGGAUUAGAUACCCCUGUAGUC